UACGGAGGGUGCGAGCGUUGUUGGGAAUUAUUGGGCGUAAAGCGCGUGUAGGCGGUUUGUUAAGUCUGAUGUGAAAGCCCCGGGCUCAACCUGGGAAGUGCAUUGGAAACUGGCAGACUUGAGUACGGGAGAGGAGAGUGGAAUUCCCAGUGUAGGAGUGAAAUCCGUAGAUAUUGGGAGGAACACCGGUGGCGAAGGCGGCUCUCUGGACCGAUACUGACGCUGAGACGCGAAAGCGUGGGUAGCAAACAGG
rnacentral:rRNA from 1 species